GGGUUUGGAUUUUUUAGGAGAUGGAUUCUUCUCAUGACGAUGAUGCCGUUUUGAAACGAGUGAUCUACAUGCUCUUGCAAUGCCAAACAUUGUCGCAGCCGGAGACCAGAGAGAGAGAGAGAGAGAGAGGAGAGAGAGAGAAUGUUUGGUUAGGCAAAUAUGGAGGUUUUUGGGAGGCCUUUUAUUAGGAGGGGAUGUGGCUUUCUCAAUCAUUUCUCUGUUUGUUUCUUAAUUGUAGCCAUAUUUGUUUUUUUCCUGGUCCAUUCCAGCUCUAAUG
rnacentral:lncRNA from 1 species